UGAACUGUAGUGGACCCACCACAGGGAUGAAGGUCACCUUUAUAGAGGAAGAAAAAUUACAGGAAGAAUUAUGUAGUGCUGCAGCUUUUCAGUGUGGUAAAUUUAAGGUGCAGAGGUCUCCCGUUGCGACGGAGUAUGCCAGUGUAAGCGCAUAGACAAAUGUGGUGACAGACUUAUCAGAAACACUGGCUGAAAUGAAGCUGUUGAUCCAAACAUCCUCAUCAUCCUUUAUCCUAAAGCCAAAGCAAAAAUGAGACUUCCCAGUGGGUGUGG